rnacentral:rRNA from 1 species
UGGGGAAUCUUCCGCAAUGGACGAAAGUCUGACGGAGCAACGCCGCGUGAGUGAAGAAGGUUUUCGGAUCGUAAAACUCUGUCUUUUGGGGCGAACGUGAGUAUGGUGAACAAUCAUAGUCAGUGACGGUACCAAAGGAGGAAGCCACGGCUAACUACGUGCCAGCAGCCGCGGUAAUACGUAGGUGGCAAGCGUUGUCCGGAAUUAUUGGGCGUAAAGAGCGCGUAGGCGGGAUAGUCAGUCUGUUGUAAAAGUGCGGGGCUCAACCCCGUGAUGGCAAAUGGAAAGCAGCUAUUCUUGAGUGCAGGAGAGGAAAGUGGAAUUCCCAGUGUAGCGGUGAAAAUGCGUAGAUAUUGGGAGGAACACCAGUGGCGAAGGCGACUUUCUGGACUGUGUCUGACGCUGAGGCGCG